UACGUAGGGUGCGAGCGUUAAUCGGAAUUACUGGGCGUAAAGCGUGCGCAGGCGGUUUUGUAAGCCAGGUGUGAAAUCCCCGGGCUCAACCUGGGAAUGGCAUUUGUGACUGGCGGGCUAGAGUAUGGCAGAGGGGGGUAGAAUUCCACGUGUAGCAGUGAAAUGCGUAGAGAUGUGGAGGAAUACCGAUGGCGAAGGCAGCCCCCUGGGCCAAUACUGACGCUCAUGCACGAAAGCGUGGGGAGCAAACAGG
rnacentral:rRNA from 1 species